GGACGAGCCGCUAAGCAGCGCCCCCUGCAGGCACACAUUGGCACCUUCCGGGCCGUCCCACCGCGGCCCGCCAGAGCCGGCGUCGGGCCGUCGGCACCUUCCGUUCUGUUCGGCUGCCGACCGCGGGGCGGAGGCGCGUUACUGUUGCACUGCCGCACCCCCUUGUGGCCUCCCGUUGGCAACGAACGUUCCACCACUCCAGGGCCGGUGAUGCGGAACGAAGACAAAAGCGCUUACUAACGCACACACGGAACAACCCCCCAGCACCGUACCGUCGGAAUCUUGGAUAAUGCCGAGUCACGAGGUUCCGCCUUCAGGCCACAGGAUGCUGGAUUUGGCGUUUGAGCGCUGGGAUUGGCAACUGGCUGCCGGAAGCCUUCCCGGAGUCUGUAUCACGGAAAGGUUCUUCCUCAGCUGGAGAUCUGCCCUCCAAACUGUACUUGUUAUCAAACCUUCAUCCGCUUUUUCUUGGUUGAAAGUCAGUAAGGUUUGAAGGUCUCCUUCAAAUCUUAUUCAGACCUCAACACAAGGGGAAGUAAUUCGUCUUACUACAACUUGAUACGCCAUGCUUUGUUGAUAUCCAUGUGUUUGGCUUGCAUAUAUGCCUGUAGGCCAGAAGAGGGCACCAAAUCUCAUUGCAGAUGGCUGUGAGCCACCAUGUGGUUGCUGGGAAUUGAACUCAGGAUCUUUGGAAGAGCAGGCUCUUAACCGCUGAGCCAUCUCUCCAGCGCCAAGCUAGGUCUUCUUGCAUAUUAGGUAAGCACUCUCCUCCCAGCCUGCUCAAGUAUUGACUUAGUUGGUGUGUGUGUCGUUCCCCUCCCCCAUCAUUUUGGGUUGUCUCAGUAUCUUGCAGCCUUCCCUCUGCACAGGUGACAGGAUUGCUCUUGGAGUAAGACAUCAGGGAAGGAAUGAAGCUGUGCCUCAGGUAAUGUUCUAAGAGGCCAGGCUGCUGACCUCAAAGCAUUAGGAAGCAGGCAGUUUCCCAGGGGUAAGACUUCUGACCUAAACCAUGAAGCAGCCCUCAAGGAGGGUAUGUGAUGGGAUUGACUUGGGUCUGUUCUCAUUUGGUCUCAGUACUGAGCACAGCCUAACUCUCCAAUGCCCCUCACUACCCUGUCAUUGUGGUCAAACUAUGUCAGGAAAUCAGACAGAUGUAUUUGUGUCUUUCUACAGCAUCAGAAUUUGAAAAGCAGUUAAUCCAAAAGAUGUGUCAGUUUCAUUGGUUUUAAUUUGCCAGCUAAUACAGAUUUCACCUCG
rnacentral:lncRNA from 1 species